rnacentral:lncRNA from 1 species
GGGUGACUCCCUUGUUCUUAGGCUCUGGCUUACCGGAAACCCCUGUCCCAUUGACCACAGCAUGCGGACCAUACAGAGGGAAGGUAGCACUGUCUUAGGCCUGAAAGAAAUAGCUAGAGAAGAAACUGGCAGACCUGUUUGCCCUAAGCCAUAAAUGAUCAGACUGGUGGAUUUUGAGGUUUUUUGAGCAGAUGGUAGAAUGUAUGAACCAUGCAGAAAGUACAGAGAAAAGGUUGUUCUGAGGCAUGGCCCCUGCCAAUUUCCCUUUUUCUGAGCUCAAGAAUGUUUGCAGGUUCUUUGCAAAUGGCAGUUAUCCUGGGGUUUAACAUGAUCGUUUUCUUAUUUUCAGAUUGAUUUCGUCGCCCAUGACGAUAUCCCCUACUCUUCGGCAGGGAGCGACGAUGUGUAUAAGCACAUCAAGGAAGCAGGCAUGUUUGCUCCCACACAGAGGACAGAAGGCAUCUCCACAUCAGACAUCAUCACCCGCAUUGUCCGUGACUAUGAUGUGUAUGCAAGACGGAACCUGCAGAGAGGCUACACUGCCAAGGAGCUCAAUGUCAGCUUUAUCAACGUGAGUUGCAGCCUCCCCUCAUAGCUCCCUGCCUCUUUAGGCACACGUUGCUUCUCGUGCUGUCUGCCCUAGGCUGCUUUCCAGUGUGCUGUGCGGUUAUCACUCUCCAAAGCUAACUCAUGUCUCUUUUGAGAAGCAUCAUGCUGAGCACUUUACAAAGAGUAGAGCGCAAAGGGAGUUUCUGUCCUCAUGGUCUAAGUCAACAUAUUGAUACAAGGACAAUUAAACAAAGCCAGGCAUGGUAGUGGUACCUUUAACCCCAGCAUUCGGGAGGCAGAGGCAGGCAGAUUUCUGUGUGAGCCAGGCUAGCUCGGCUGCACAGUGAGAUCCUGUCUUUAAAAAAAGAAAGGAAAAAAAGAUAUACAAAUCGAUUUAACAAAUAGGCAUUUAACAAAUGCCUGCCUAUAGUCCCAGCACGGAUGCACCUGUUCCAGUGAAGGGACUGGAGACAAGGGGACCAGAAUGUUGGAGGCCAGUGUUAGGGACAUGACACUCUGUCUCAAAAAAAAAAAAAAGACAAAAGUAUAAAUUAUAUAGCACAUUAUAUCAAAGAGUGGUUCUUAACUGUGGUUGACUUUUGCUUUUUAUAAAAAAUUAUGUGAUCUUUUGAGCAUAAGAUGAAAACUACAGAUCUUUCCCUG